UACGUAGGGGGCUAGCGUUGUCCGGAAUCAUUGGGCGUAAAGAGCGUGUAGGCGGUCCGGUAAGUCCGCUGUGAAAGUCGGGGGCUCAACCCUCGAAUGCCGGUGGAUACUGUCGGGCUAGAGUGCGGAAGAGGCGAGUGGAAUUCCUGGUGUAGCGGUGAAAUGCGCAGAUAUCAGGAGGAACACCAGUGGCGAAGGCGGCUCACUGGCCCGGUACUGACGCUGAGGCACGAAAGCGUGGGGAGCAAACAGG
rnacentral:rRNA from 1 species